rnacentral:rRNA from 1 species
UACGUAGGGGCCUAGCGUUGUCCGGAUUUAUUGGGCGUAAAGAGCUCGUAGGCGGUUUGGUAAGUCGGGUGUGAAAUCUCCACGCUCAACGUGGAGGGGCCACCCGAUACUGCCAUGACUGGAGUCCGGUAGGGGAGUGUGGAAUUCCCGGUGUAGCGGUGAAAUGCGCAGAUAUCGGGAGGAACACCAGUGGCGAAGGCGACACUCUGGGCCGGUACUGACGCUGAGGAGCGAAAGCGUGGGGAGCAAACAGG